UGCAGUCGAGGGGUAUAGUUCUUCGGAAUUAGAGACCGGCGCACGGGUGCGUAACGCGUAUGCAAUCUACCUUUCACAGAGGGAUAGCCCAGAGAAAUUUGGAUUAAUACCUCAUAGUAUAGUGAUACCGCAUGGUACUACUAUUAAAGUCACAACGGUGAAAGAUGAGCAUGCGUCCCAUUAGCUAGUUGGUAAGGUAACGGCUUACCAAGGCUACGAUGGGUAGGGGUCCUGAGAGGGAGAUCCCCCACACUGGUACUGAGACACGGACCAGACUCCUACGGGAGGCAGCAGUGAGGAAUAUUGGACAAUGGGCGCAAGCCUGAUCCAGCCAUGCCGCGUGCAGGAUGACGGUCCUAUGGAUUGUAAACUGCUUUUGUACGGGAAGAAACACUCCUUCGUGAAGGAGCUUGACGGUACCGUAAGAAUAAGGAUCGGCUAACUCCGUGCCAGCAGCCGCGGUAAUACGGAGGGUCCAAGCGUUAUCCGGAAUCAUUGGGUUUAAAGGGUCCGUAGGCGGUUUAGUAAGUCAGUGGUGAAAGCCCAUCGCUCAACGGUGGAACGGCCAUUGAUACUGCUAGACUUGAAUUAUUAGGAAGUAACUAGAAUAUGUAGUGUAGCGGUGAAAUGCUUAGAGAUUACAUGGAAUACCAAUUGCGAAGGCAGGUUACUACUAAUGGAUUGACGCUGAUGGACGAAAGCGUGGGUAGCGAACAGGAUUAGAUACCCUGGUAGUCCACGCCGUAAACGAUGGAUACUAGCUGUUGGGAGCGAUCUCAGUGGCUAAGCGAAAGUGAUAAGUAUCCCACCUGGGGAGUACGUUCGCAAGAAUGAAACUCAAAGGAAUUGACGGGGGGCCGCACAAGCGGUGGA
rnacentral:rRNA from 1 species